GACGAACCGUGCGAACGUUGUUCGGAAUCACUGGGCUUAAAGGGCGCGUAGGCGGGCUGCCAAGUCUGGGGUGAAAUCCCACGGCUCAACCGUGGAACUGCCUCGGAUACUGGCGGCCUCGAGGGAGGUAGGGGCAUGCGGAACUGUGGGUGGAGCGGUGAAAUGCGUUGAUAUCCACAGGAACUCCGGUGGCGAAGGCGGCGUGCUGGACCUCUUCUGACGCUGAGGCGCGAAAGCUAGGGGAGCAAACGGG
rnacentral:rRNA from 1 species